GCAGGCAGGUGUGCUGAAGCCGGUUGGAAAUAAACUUUCCAGGAGAGUGGGUCCCCAGGAGCAGGGUUGAAGACCUCUGCACUAGGAAAAUCCAUCUGGCGAGAAGUUCAAAUGAAGAAAGUGUUUAUCCUGCUGUUGACAAGCAUAAGGGCUCAACCACACACAAAGAAAAUCGCAAGACGGCCCACAAUAGCUGCUAAUAAUACAGAGCUGCAGUGCUGAUGAAUAGAAAAGAUGGCAAAAUCUUGAGACGUGUUUUUAAAUUCACUGUGCUCAUGCGUGAGACGCUGAAAAAACUGCAAGAUGCAAGUGCAACAGUCAAACAUAUUCAUCUAGCACAUAUUUAUACAGAAAAACAAUUUAAAGCAGCACGGUGGAACAAAAAAAGCAAGAUAUGAGGGAAAAAAAUGCAUUUUUGAUGCACAACAUUUUAAAAACACAAGAUGUUUUUCUCUACAUUUCAAAUCAUUAUUUCGGCAUCUUAAGAGCAUUUAAUAAUAAACAAUGAUCUAAAUAGGAAAAUUAUUUAGAGAUGAUUUCUGGUGUGGAUGGACAGGACAGAGAUACCCUAGUGACUGUUUUCUGCUCAUGAUCAGAAUGUUUUGAUUAUUCAAUUGCUGUUUAUUGUUAGUAUAUUGUUAUAAAAACUAUUUAGCUGUGUGUUUGUGUUGUUUGGACCUCUGCUGGGAUACAAAAUACAGAAUUCAGCCUGAACAAUUAAAACAUUCAGAACUAUACAUUGUCCAUCAUAACUGACACAUUUAUACACAGAAUCCGAAAAAUGGUAAACUACACACUUGCAAAUAACCUAUUUGUACAUUCAUUUGAAUAACUGUAUUUCUUUUUGUAUAUAGUGCAUUAUUUA